AGGAAUCUGGGUGAGCCCGCUAGAUGGUGAAAUACCAGGUGGAGAGAGGCCCUCGUCAACACAUUGUCUUAGCUGAGGCUUCAUAAAUCAGCGGCCCCGGCUUCUACUGCACCAAGCUGACUACUAGGUGUGGAGGUGCUUGUGAGUUGGAGCAGCAAAAACUAACUGAUACAGUGUCUGGCUGUCUCUCUUUCCCUCACUCACGCACACCACUCUAUCAAUAGAAAGAGUUCCAUUCUUUGGGACCUCAAGUUCAAAUUCAACUUACAUUUAUGGAAUACCUUCUAAGUUUCCGGCUUUUGACCAGGUGCUUUCACAUGAUGUUCUCAUUCAAAUUUCCUGACCACCAUGUAAAUAAGUAGGAGGGAAGAGAACUUGCACUUACUAGGCACUUACUUACCAAGUGCUAGACAAUGUGCUAUUUCACUUCAGCCUCAAAUCUUUCGAGCACUUUUAAGCUAGAUGAUCAAGGGUGCUGGACAACAGCCUGUCAGUACUGAAAGCACAAGAGAAUCAUUCCACGCUGAUUAAAGCCAGUGCCAUCCCUGGGGCUUCGGCUGGCUGGUGGAGUUUUUGUUCCAGUGUGAGC